rnacentral:rRNA from 1 species
GACGAACGCUGGCGGCGUGCCUAAUACAUGCAAGUAGAACGCUGAGGAGAGGAGCUUGCUCUUCUUGGAUGAGUUGCGAACGGGUGAGUAACGCGUAGGUAACCUGCCUUGUAGCGGGGGAUAACUAUUGGAAACGAUAGCUAAUACCGCAUAACAAUGGAUGACACAUGUCAUUUAUUUGAAAGGGGCAAUUGCUCCACUACAAGAUGGACCUGCGUUGUAUUAGCUAGUAGGUGAGGUAACGGCUCACCUAGGCGACGAUACAUAGCCGACCUGAGAGGGUGAUCGGCCACACUGGGACUGAGACACGGCCCAGACUCCUACGGGAGGCAGCAGUAGGGAAUCUUCGGCAAUGGGGGCAACCCUGACCGAGCAACGCCGCGUGAGUGAAGAAGGUUUUCGGAUCGUAAAGCUCUGUUGUAAGUCAAGAACGAGUGUGAGAGUGGAAAGUUCACACUGUGACGGUAGCUUACCAGAAAGGGACGGCUAACUACGUG